GCCCUGGUAGCUCAGCUGGAUAGAGCGACUCCCUCCUAAGGAGUAGGCCGCAGGUUCGAAUCCUGCCCAGGGCAC
rnacentral:tRNA from 1 species